rnacentral:lncRNA from 1 species
UGUAGGCAGGUAACAUGUGAGUGCUGGUACCGCCAACCUCAAAUACUCACCGACUUUGACAACGAGUACUUUGCUUAAGGUGUGUUGGACGUUUCGACAGGGCUUCUCGAUAGAAGACUACGCCGACAAUGAAUUUACGGGGUGAUGCUGCAGCUCUGCUGCUCCUGACAGCAGUGUGUCUGAGUUUCUGUGCGGAGGCCCUGGAGAAGGUGGAGGCCCUGGAGAAGGUGGAGGCCCGAUGCCAUUCUAACGUCAGCCUCCCCUGUGAUGCACGAGCUCACAGCCAGAACUACCGCUCUCUCACCUGGUACAAGCUGCACAGCCGGACGAGUAUCCUCAAGAGGAAGGGGGGUAAUAUCACCACAUAUGAUUACCCCCGUGCAGUUGCCCUUGGGCCUCAGGGGGAGCUGAUCCUGCCCCGUGUUACCCCCAAUGACUCGGGCACCUUCGAGUGCCUCCUGAGGGCAGACCUUGGGGGGCAGAA